GACGUAGGGGGCAAGCGUUACCCGGAAUUACUGGGCGUAAAGGGAGCGUAGGCGGGAGGUCAAGUCCGGUGUGAAAGACCCUGGCUCAACCAGGGAUGAGGGCUGGAAACUGACAAUCUUGAGUACAGCAGAGGAAGAGGGAAUUACCGGUGUAGGGGUGAAAUCCGUAGAGACCGGUAAGAAGGCCAGUGGCGAAGGCGCUUUUCUGGGCUGUUACUGACGCUGAGGCUCGAAAGCCAGGGGAGCAAACCGG
rnacentral:rRNA from 1 species